rnacentral:rRNA from 1 species
AUGGACAGGCGGCAUGAGGCGUUGACCGGUCGGAGCGGCCGGGGGCGCUGUGCUGGCUCGAUGUCGCGGCGCCACGGACGGUUCAACCACGACGGCGACCAAGGCGCUCGGCCGGCCGCGGCGCCGGCGGUGGUCGACCACGCGGACUGCACGGCGCAGUCGUGCCGGUCGUGCGUGGCGGUGUCGCUGGCGGACUGCAUCGCGCUGGGCUGCUGCCCGUGCGCGGUGGUGAGCCUGCUGGGGCUGGCGCUCGUCAAGGCCCCGCUCGCCGUAGGCCGCCGCUGCGUGCAGCGGCUGCGCCGGCGGCAUGGGAAGCUGCAGCACAAGAAGCGCGUGCGCGACAUGGACCUCGCGGGCGGCCGCCCUGGCCCUAGCGCCGCUGGCGCCAAGUGUGCGGGCGGGGGCGGCCACCGGGAGCCUGGUCCCGGCGAGGCCGCGUCAAAAGGCGAGGACGACGUGGCGACGGCGGCGUAUCAGGGCGCGGCUGCGAGCGAGGAGGAAAGGGUGUGGCUGGAGAUGUACCAGGUGGGGCAGUGGGGGUUCGGCCGCUUGUCCUUCUCCGUGAACCCGCCUCCGAGGGCCGGCCGCAGCGCCGACGGCGACGGCUGCGAAAGCGACGUGUGA